rnacentral:rRNA from 1 species
GACGAACCACACAAACGUUAUUCGGAAUUACUGGGUGUAAAGGGCGCGUAGGCGGUGAGAUGUGUGUGAUGUGAAAGCCCCGGGCUUAACCUGGGAAGUGCAUUGCAAACUAUCUGACUAGAGUAUAUGAGAGGGUGGCGGAAUUUCCGGUGUAGCGGUGAAAUGCGUAGAGAUCGGAAGGAACGUCAAUGGCGAAGGCAGCCACCUGGCAUAAUACUGACGCUGAGGCGCGAAAGCGUGGGGAGCGAACAGG